rnacentral:lncRNA from 1 species
CAACACAGGAUGUUGGAAAAUUACCGAGAGACAGCAACGUCCUCCCUGCUGUUUGGUGAGAAAAGAAGGAUGCACCUUCAGGUUAAACACUGGGCUUGGUGACCACCCGUGAGAUCCUGAAUGCCGUGUCCAGCAAGCCUCCCAGCCCCUGAGGACAACAACUAGGACACAUCCAGGGCUGUGGCUGGGACCUGCAGUGACACACGGGCUCAGAGGUGAGCCGGGAGACCCAGCGGGGACAGCCAAACACCCGGAAGCACAGGGAGAUGGGGACCAGCGCCACGAUGUGCAGCAGAAAGAAAACGAGGAGAAGUACUAUAAAAAAUGAGAGGAAGGCUUGUCUCUAAGCCUGAACGACUCCU